rnacentral:misc_RNA from 1 species
ACACCUCAACUCUCAUGGUUUUGCCGUGAUGAGCUUGGACUUUGGGGGUCUUGCUGGCCUAUGGUCAGCUCCUCUUAAAUGAAUCAGCUUGCCAGUGUUUGGUGGCAUCCCAGGUGUGAUAACUAUCUACGCUUGUGGUUUUCUGUCAAGUAACCUUCAGCGAUGGAGGUUCACUGGGGCUCAUAAAGGCCUCUCCUCAGUGAGGAAUGGCUCCUUUUGAAU